rnacentral:rRNA from 1 species
CAGCCGCCGCGGUAAUACGUAGGGUGCAAGCGUUAAUCGGAAUUACUGGGCGUAAAGCGUGCGUAGGCGGUUCGUUAAGUCUGUUGUGAAAGCCCCGGGCUCAACCUGGGAAUGGCAAUGGAUACUGGCGAGCUAGAGUGUGUCAGAGGAUGGUGGAAUUCCCGGUGUAGCGGUGAAAUGCGUAGAGAUCGGGAGGAACAUCAGUGGCGAAGGCGGCCAUCUGGGACAACACUGACGCUGAGGCACGAAAGCGUGGGGAGCAAACAGGAUUAGAUACCCCGGUAGUCCCUGUCUCUUAUAC